GAUGAUGAUCCCAAGCCUUCUGGCGAUCUGUUUACUGAGCCUUUUCAGGUUUUUAAGGAAAGCUUUGUUUUUCUUUUGUCAGAUUAUGCCGGGGAAGGUUUUUCCGGUUUACCCCGGAGGGCUUGUAGCUCAGUUGGUUAGAGCGCGCGCUUGAUAAGCGUGAGGUCGGAGGUUCAAGUCCUCCCAGGCCCACCAAUUUAUAAUAGCUUAUAGAGCGUUUUUAAGAUAAUUUGUUGACCGUUAAGGUUUUUUAUUUUGAGCUUUUUUGUUCUGUUUUAGGGGCCGUAGCUCAGCUGGGAGAGCACCUGCUUUGCAAGCAGGGGGUCGUCGGUUCGAUCCCGUCCGGCUCCACCAAUUAGGUCAUCAUCGUUGUUGAAGGAACAGUUUUUGCGAGAGGUUUAGAGACCUUUUGCCUGUUCU
rnacentral:tRNA from 1 species